UCCCUGGUGGCUCAGUGGUAAAGAAUCUGCCUGCCAAUGCAGAAGACAUGGGUUCGAUCCCUGGUCUGGGAA
rnacentral:tRNA from 1 species